UAACCUGCCCAAGAGAUCGGGAUAACACCUGGAAACAGAUGCUAAUACCGGAUAACAACAGAUGAUGCAUAUCAACUGUUUAAAAGAUGGUUCUGCUAUCACUCUUGGAUGGACCUGCGGUGCAUUAGCUAGUUGGUAGGGUAACGGCCUACCAAGGCGAUGAUGCAUAGCCGAGUUGAGAGACUGAUCGGCCACAUUGGGACUGAGACACGGCCCAAACUCCUACGGGAGGCAGCAGUA
rnacentral:rRNA from 1 species